rnacentral:tRNA from 1 species
GGGAAUGUGACUCAGUGGUAGAGUGCUUGCCUAGCAUGCAUGAAGCCCUGGGUUUGAUUCCUCAGUAUCA